rnacentral:rRNA from 1 species
AACGAACGCUGGCGGCAUGCCUAACACAUGCAAGUCGAACGAGACCUUCGGGUCUAGUGGCGCACGGGUGCGUAACGCGUGGGAAUCUGCCCUUAGGUUCGGAAUAAACUCAGGGAAACUUGAGCUAAUACCGGAUAAUGACGUAAGUCCAAAGAUUUAUCGCCUAGGGAUGAGCCCGCGUAGGAUUAGCUAGUUGGUGGG